rnacentral:rRNA from 1 species
UGACCGCUGGCGGCGUGCCUAAUACAUGCAAGUCGAGCGAACGGACGAGAAGCUUGCUUCUCUAAUGUUAGCGGCGGACGGGUGAGUAACACGUGGAUAACCUACCUAUAAGACUGGGAUAACUUCGGGAAACCGUAGCUAAUACCGGAUAAUAUUUUGAACCGCAUGGUUCAAAAGUGAAAGACGGUCUUGCUGUCACUUAUAGAUGGAUCCGCGCUGCAUUAGCUAGUUGGUAAGGUAACGGCUUACCAAGGCAACGAUGCAUAGCCGACCUGAGAGGGUGAUCGGCCACACUGGAACUGAGACACGGUCCAGACUCCUACGGGAGGCAGCAGUAGGGAAUCUUCCGCAAUGGGCGAAAGCCUGACGGAGCAACGCCGCGUGAGUGAUGAAGGUCUUCGGAUCGUAAAACUCUGUUAUUAGGGAAGAACAUAUGUGUAAGUAACUGUGCACAUCUUGACGGUACCUAAUCAGAAAGCCACGGCUAACUACGUG